rnacentral:rRNA from 1 species
AUGGCACCGGCGCAUGCUCCUGGAGGCGGCGAUGACGUGACCGUGGCGGAGUGCCCAAUCUGCAUGGAGGAGCUGGUGGCCAACAACAACUGCGGAUCCGUGAGGAGAUUGCCCGGUUGCUUGCACUCCUUCCACGAAAGCUGCAUCACACAAUGGCUCUGCAGGGCGGCCACGUGUCCGUGCUGUCGGCGCGACAUGGCAGCAUACAAUAUCUGCGCGUACCCGGUGUCAUCGUUCUACUCGGAGACGGUCGUGACUGUUGCGCUGAACAUUCCGCGCCGCCCUCGACAAUGA